CUAUCAUGCAGUCGAACGCCUCUUUUUCCACCGGAGCUUGCUCCAUCGGAAAAAGAGGAGUGGCGAACGGGUGAGUAACACGUGGGUAACCUGCCCAUCAGAAGGGGAUAACACUUGGAAACAGGUGCUAAUACCGUAUAACAAUCGAAACCGCAUGGUUUCGAUUUGAAAGGCGCUUUCGGGUGUCGCUGAUGGAUGGACCCGCGGUGCAUUAGCUAGUUGGUGAGGUAACGGCUCACCAAGGCGACGAUGCAUAGCCGACCUGAGAGGGUGAUCGGCCACAUUGGGACUGAGACACGGCCCAAACUCCUACGGGAGGCAGCAGUAGGGAAUCUUCGGCAAUGGACGAAAGUCUGACCGAGCAACGCCGCGUGGAGUGAAGAAGGUUUUCGGAUCGUAAAACUCUGUUGUUAGAGAAGAACAAGGAUGAGAGUAACUGUUCAUCCCUUGACGGUAUCUAACCAGAAAGCCACGGCUAACUACGUGCCAGCAGCCGCGGUAAUACGUAGGUGGCAAGCGUUGUCCGGAUUUAUUGGGCGUAAAGCGAGCGCAGGCGGUUUCUUAAGUCUGAUGUGAAAGCCCCCGGCUCAACCGGGGAGGGUCAUUGGAAACUGGGAGACUUGAGUGCAGAAGAGGAGAGUGGAAUUCCAUGUGUAGCGGUGAAAUGCGUAGAUAUAUGGAGGAACACCAGUGGCGAAGGCGGCUCUCUGGUCUGUAACUGACGCUGAGGCUCGAAAGCGUGGGGAGCAAACAGGAUUAGAUACCCUGGUAGUCCACGCCGUAAACGAUGAGUGCUAAGUGUUGGAGGGUUUCCGCCCUUCAGUGCUGCAGCUAACGCAUUAAGCACUCCGCCUGGGGAGUACGACCGCAAGGUUGAAACUCAAAGGAAUUGACGGGGGCCCGCACAAGCGGUGGAGCAUGUGGUUUAAUUCGAAGCAACGCGAAGAACCUUACCAGGUCUUGACAUCCUUUGACCACUCUAGAGAUAGAGCUUCCCCUUCGGGGGCAAAGUGACAGGUGGUGCAUGGUUGUCGUCAGCUCGUGUCGUGAGAUGUUGGGUUAAGUCCCGCAACGAGCGCAACCCUUAUUGUUAGUUGCCAUCAUUUAGUUGGGCACUCUAGCAAGACUGCCGGUGACAAACCGGAGGAAGGUGGGGAUGACGUCAAAUCAUCAUGCCCCUUAUGACCUGGGCUACACACGUGCUACAAUGGGAAGUACAACGAGUCGCAAAGUCGCGAGGCUAAGCUAAUCUCUUAAAGCUUCUCUCAGUUCGGAUUGUAGGCUGCAACUCGCCUACAUGAAGCCGGAAUCGCUAGUAAUCGCGAUCAGCACGCCG
rnacentral:rRNA from 1 species